rnacentral:rRNA from 1 species
CGAACGGGUGAGUAACGCGUGAGGAACCUGCCUCAAAGAGGGGGACAACAGUUGGAAACGACUGCUAAUACCGCAUAAGCCCACGGGUCGGCAUCGAGCAGAGGGAAAAGGAGUGAUCCGCUUUGAGAUGGCCUCGCGUCCGAUUAGCUAGUUGGUGAGGUAAUGGCCCACCAAGGCGACGAUCGGUAGCCGGACUGAGAGGUUGAACGGCCACAUUGGGACUGAGACACGGCCCAG